AGAUUGAUAGUGUUAUUAGUGUUUUUGUUUUGCUAAAUUAUGUAUAUUGUUAUCAAGAAAUGAGAAGAUUGAUAUUGUUAUUAGUGUUCUUGUUUUGCUAAAUUUUGUAAAUUGUUAUCAAGAAAUGAGAAGAUUGGUCGUGUUAUUAGUGUUCUUCUUUUGCUAAAUUUUGUAUAUUAUUAUCAAGAAAUGAGAAGCUUGAUAGUGUUAUUAGUCUUCUUGUUUUGCUAAAUUUUGUAUAUUAUUAUCAAGAAAUGAGAAGGUUGAUAGUGUUAUUAGUGUUCUUGUUUUGCUAAAUUUUGUAAAGAGAGAGAUUAACUCUAUUAUGUGAGUGUAUUCUUGCCUCGUUUUUUUCUUGAGCAAUAUCUAUCUGUAUAUUGUAUCCAAGAAAUGAGAAAGAUUGAUAGUGUUUAUUGUGUUCUUGUUUGCUAAAUUUUAUAUAUUUGUUAUCAAAGAAAUGAGAAGAUUGAUAGUGUUAUUAGGUUCUUGUUUUGCUAAAUUUGUAUAUUGUUAUCAGAAAUGAGAAGAUUGAAGUGUUAUUAGUGUUUUUUGUUUUGAAAUUUUGUAUAUUGUUAUCAAGAAAUGAGAAGAUUGAUAGUGUUAUUAGUGUUCUUGUUUUGCUAAAUUUUUUAUAUUGUUAUCAGAAAGAGAAGAUUGAUAGUGUUAUUAGUGUUCUUGUUUUGCUAAUUUUUGUAUAUUGUUAUCAAGAAAUGAGAAGAUUGAUAGUGUUAUUAGUGUUCUUGUUUUGUAAAUUUUGUAUAUUGUUAUCAAGAAAUGAGAAAUUGAUAGUGUUAUUAGUGUUCUUGUUAUCAAGAAAUGUUUGACGCUGACCCUUUAAGAAUCUCUCAAAAAUGAAAGGCAUUGCAUGGGAAUUCUCCAUGGCUUUUUGUUCAGUCAAAUAAGGAUAUGGAAGAUCACAACAGUGAUGUAAGUCAUGACGCCUGUUCUUUUGAAUUUAUGAUGGCUUCAAAGGCCACACCACUGCUUCCUAUAUCGUACGCACAUCUUUAGGACUCUUUUACGUGAGUUAUUUUUUGCUUCUUUUUUCUUAGCAUACUAAUCUGUGUAUAUUGUUAUCAAGAAAUGAGAAGAUUGAUAGUGUUAUUAGUGUUCUUGUUUUGCUAAAUUUUGUAUAUGUUAUGCAAAGAAAUGAGAAGAUUGAUAGUGUUAUUAGUGUUCUUGUUUGCAAAAUUUGUAUAUUGUUAUCAAGAAAUGAAAAGAUUGAUAGUGUAUAGUGUUCUUGUUUGCUAAAUUUUGUAUAUUGUUAUCAGAAAUGAGAAGAUUGAUAUGUUUUAUUAGUGUUCUUGUUUUGCUAAUUUUGUAUAUUGUUAUCAAGAAAUGAGAAGAUUGAUAGUGUUAUUAGUGUUCUGUUUUGCUAUUUUGAAUAUUGUAUCAAGAAAUGAGAAGAUUGAAAGUGUUAUAGUGUUCUUGUUUGCUAAAUUUUGUAUUUUUAUCAAGAAAUGAGAAGAUUGAUAGUGUUAUUUGUGUUUUUGUUUUGCUAAAUUUUGUAUAUUGUUAUCAAGAAAUGAAGAUUGAUAGUGUUAUUAGUGUCUUGUUUUGCUAAAUUUUGUAUAUUGUUAUCAAGAAAUAGGAAGGUUGAUAGUGUUAUUAGUGUUUCUUGUUUGCUAAUUUUGUAUAUUGUUAUCAAGAAAUGAGAAGAUUGAUAGUGUUAUUAGUGUUCUUGUUAUCAAGAAACGUUUUGACGCUGACCCUUUAGCAAAAUCUCUCAAAAUGAAAGGCAUUGCCAUGGGGAAUUCUCCAUGGCUUUUAUUCAGUCAAAUAAGGAUAUGGAAGAUCACAACCAAGUCGAUGUAAGCCAUGCCGCACUGUUCGUUUGAAUUUAUGAUGGCUCAAAGGCCACACCACUGCUUCCUAUAUCGUACGCACAUCUUUAGACUCUAUUAUGUGAGUUAUUUCUUUGCUCUUUUUCUUAGCAUACUAUCUGUAUAUUUUUCAAGAAAUGAGAAGAUUGAUAGUGUUAUUGUGUUCUUGUUUUGCUAAAUUUUUUGUUAUUUAUCAAGAAAUGAGAGAUUGAUAGUGUUAUUAGGUUCUUGUUUUGCUAAAUUUUGUAUAUUGUUAUCAAGAAAUGAGAAGAUUGAGUGUUAUUAGUGUUUUUUGUUUUGUAAAUUUGUAUAUUGUUAUCAAGAUGAGAAGAUUGAUAGUGUUAUUAGUGUUCUUGUUUUGCUAAAUUUUGUAUAUUGUUAUCAAGAAAGAGAAGAUUGAUAGUGUUAUUAGUGUUCUUGUUUUCUAAAUUUUGUAUAUUGUUAUCAAGAAAUGAGAAGAUUGAUAGUGUUAUUAGUGUUCUUGUUUUGAUAAAUUUUGUAUAUUGUUAUCAAGAAAUGAGAAAUAUUGAUAGUGUUAUUAGUGUUCUUGUUAUCAAGAAACGUUUGACGCUGACUCCUUUAGCAAAAAUCUCUCAAAAUGAAAGGCAUUGCCAUGGGGAAUUCUCCAUGGCUUCUGUUCAGUCAAAUAAGGAUAUGGAAGAUCACAACCAAGUCGAUGUAAGUCAUGACGCACUGUUCUUUAAUUUAUGAUGGCUUCAAAGCCACACCACUGCUUCCUAUAUUCGUACGCACAUCUUUAGGAUUUUAUUACGUGAGUUAUUUCUUUGCUUCUUUUUUCUUAGCAUACUAAUCUGUAUAUUGUUAUCAAGAAAUGAGAAGAUUGAUAGUGUUAUAGUGUUCUUGUUUUGCUAAAUUUGUAUAUUGUUAUCAGAAUAAUGGAAGAUUGAUAGUGUUAUUAGUGUUCUUGUUUUGCUAAAUUUUUGUAUAUUGUUAUCAAGAAAUGAGAAGAUUGAUAGUGUAUUAGUGUUCUUGUUUUGCUAAUUUUUUGAUAUGUAUCAAGAAAUGAGAAGAUUGAUAGUGUUUAUAGUGUUCUUGUUUGCUAAAUUUUGAUAUUGUUAUCAAGAAAUGAGAAGAUUGAUAGUGUUAUUGUGUUUUGUUUGCUUAAAUUUUGUAUAUUGUUAUCAAGAAAUGAGAAGAUUGAUAGUGUAUUAGUUGUCUUUUUGCUAAAUUUUGUAUAUUGUUAUCAAGAAAUAGAAGUUGAUAGUGUUAUUAGUGUUCUUGUUUGCUAAUUUUGUAUAUUGUUAUCAAGAAAUGAGAAGAUUGAUAGUGUAUAGUGUUAUUAGUNNNNNNNNNNUAGUUAUUGUAUGCAAAAAUGAGAAGAUUGAUAGUGUUAUUAGUUUUCUUGUUUUGUAAAUUUUGUAUAUUGUUAUCAAGAUGAGAAGAUUGAUAGUGUUAUUAGUGUUCUUGUUUUGCUAAAUUUUGUAUAUUGUUAUAAGAGAGAAGAUUGAUAGUGUUAUUAGUGUUUUAUGAUAGUGUUAUUAGUGUUCUUGUUAUCAAGAAACGUUUGACGCUGACCCUUUAGCAAAUUCUCUCAAAAAUGAAAGGCAUUGCCAUGGGGAAUUCUCCAUGGCUUCUAUUCAGUCAAAUAAGGAUGUGGAAGAUCACAACCAAGUCGAUGUAUGUCAUGACGCACUGUUCAUUUGAAUUUGUGAUGGCUUCAAAGGCCACACCACUACUUCCUAUAUUCGUACGCACAUCUUUAGGACUCUAUUACGUGAGUUAUUUCUUUGCUUCUUUUUUCUUAGCAUACUACUAUGUAUAUUGUUAUCAAGAAAUGAGAAGAUUGAUAGUGUUAUUAGUGUUCUUGUUUUGCUAAAUUUUGUAUGUUGUUAUCAAAAAAUAAGAAGAUUGAUAGGGUUAUUAGUGUUCUUGUUUUGCUAAAUUUUGUAUAUUGUUAUCAAGAAAUAAGAAGAUUGAUAGUGUUAUUAGUGUUCUUGUUUUGCUAAAUAUUGUAUAUUGUUAUCAAGAAAUGAGAAGCUUGAUAGUGUUAUUAGUCGUCUUGUUUUGCUAAAUUUUGUAUAUUAUUAUCAAGAAAUGAGUAGAUUGAUAGUGUAUUAGUGUUCUUGUUUUGCUAAAUUUGUAUAUGUUAUCAAGAAAUGAGAAGAUUGAUAUGUUAUUAGUGUUCUUGUUUUGCUAAAUUUGUAUAUUGUUAUCAAGAAAUGAGAAGAUUGAUAGUGUUUAUUAGUGUUCUUGUUUUGCUAAUUGUAUAUUGUUAUCGAAGAUGAAAGAUUGAUAUGUUAUUAGUGUUCUUGUUUUGCUAAAUUUUGUAUAUUGUUAUCAAGAAAUGAGAAAGAUUGAUAGUGUUAUUAGUGUUCUUGUUUGCUAAAUUUUGUAUAUUGUUAUCAAGAAAUGAGAAGAUUGAUAGUGUUAUUAGUGUUCUUGUUUUGCUAAAUUUGUUAUAUGUUAUCAAGAAAUGAGAAGAGUAUAGUGUUAUUAGUGUUCUUGUUUGCUAAAUUUUGUAUAUUGUUUCAAGAAAUAGAAGAUUGAUAGUGUAUUAUGUUCUUGUUUUGCUAAAUUUUGUAUAUUGUUAUCAAGAAAUGAGAAGAUUGAUAGUGUUAUUAGUGUUCUGUUUUUGCUAAUAUUGUAUAUUGUUAUCAAGAAAUGAGAGAAGAUUGAUAGUGUUAUUAGUUUCUGUUUUGCUAAAUUUUGUAUAUUGUUAUCAAAGAAUGAGAAGAUUGAUAGUUUAUAUGUUCUUGUUUUGCUAAAAUUUGUAUAUUGUUAUCAAGAAAUGAGAAAGAUUGAUAGUGUUAUUGUGUUCUUUUUUUCUAAAUUUUGUAUAUUUUUAUCAGAAAUGAGAAGAUGAUAGGUUAUUAUGUUCUGUUUUGCUAAAUUUGUAUAUUAUACAAGAAAUGAGAGAUUGUAGUGUAUUAGUGUUCUUGUUUUCUAAAUUUUGUAUAUUGUAUCAAGAAAUGAGAAGAUUGAUAGUGUUAUUAGUGUUCUUGUUUUGCAAAAUUUGUAUAUGUUAUCAAGAAAUGAGAGGAUUGAUAGUGUUAUUAGUGUUCUUUUUGCUAAAUUUUGUAUAUUUAUACAGAAAUGAGAAGAUUGAUAGUGUUAUUAGUGUUCUUGUUUUGCUAAAUUUUGUAUAUUGUUAUCAAGAAAUGAGAAGAUUGAUAGUGUUAUUAGUGUUUUGUUUUGCUAAAUUUUGAUAUUGUUAUCAAGAAAUAGAAAGAUUGAUAGUGUUAUUAGUGUUCUUGUUUUGCUAAAUUUGUAUAUUGUUAUCAAAAUGAGAAGAUUGAUAGUGUUAUUAGUGUUUUGUUUUGCUAAAUUUUAUAUUGUUAUCAAGAAAUGAGAAGAUUGAUAGGUUAUUAGGUUUCGUUUUGCUAAAUUUUGUAUAUGUUAUCAAGAAAUGAGAAGAUUGAUAGGGUUAUUAUGUUCUUUUGUUUUGCUAAAUUUUGUAUAUUUAUCAAGAAAUAAGAAGAUUGAUAGUGUUAUUAGUGUUCUUGUUUUGCUAAAUUUUGUAUAUUGUUAUCAAGAAAUGAGAAGUUUGAUAGUGUUAUUAGUGUCUUGUUUUGCUAAAUUUGUAUAUUUUAUCAAGAAAUGAGAAGUUGAUAGUGUUAUUAGUGUUCUUGUUUUGUAAAUUUGUAUAUGUUAUCAAGAAAUGAGAAGAUUGAUAGUGUUAUUAGUGUUCUUGUUUUGCUAAAAUUUGUAUAUGUUAUCAGAAAUGAGAAGAUUGAUAUUGUUAUUAGUGUUCUUGUUUUGCUAAAUUUGUAUAUUGUUAUCAAGAAAUGAGAAGAUUGAUAGUGUUAUUAGUGUUCUUGUUUGCUAAAUUUUGUAUAUUGUUAUCAAGAAAUGAGAAGAUUGAUAGUGUUAUUAGUGUUCUUGUUUUGCUAAAUUUUGUUUAUUGUUUAUCAAGAAAUGAGAAGAUUGAUAGUGUUAUUAGUGUUCUUGUUUUGCUAAAUUUUAUAUUGUUAUCAAGAAAUAGAAGAUUGAUAGUGAUUAGUGUUUUUUUUGCUAAAUUUUGUAUAUUGUUAUCAAGAAAUGAGAAGAUUGAUAGUGUUAUUAGUGUUCUGUUUUUCUAAAUUUUAUAUUGUUAUCAAGAAAUGAGAAGAUUGAUAGUGUUAUUAGUUCUUGUUUUGCUAAAUUUUGUAUAUUGUUAUCAAGAAAUGAGAAGAUUGAUAGUUAUUAGUGUUCUUGUUUUGCUAAAUUUUGUAUAUUGUUAUCAAGAAAUGAGAAGAUUGAUAGUGUUAUUAGUGUUCUUUUUUCUAAAUUUUGUAUAUUUUAUCAGAAAAGAGAAGAUUGAUAGUGUUAUUAUGUUCUUGUUUUGUAAAUUGUAUAUUUUAUCAAGAAAUGAGAAGAUUGAUAGUGUUAUUAGUGUUCUUGUUUUCUAAAUUUGUAUAUUGUUAUCAAGAAAUGAGAAGAUUGAAUAUGUUAUUAGUUCUUGUUUGCAAAAUUUGUAUAUUGUUAUCAAGAAAUGAGAGAUUGAUAUGUUAUUAUGUUCUUUUUUGCAAAUUUGUAUAUUAACAAGAACAUGAGAAGAUUGAUAGUGUUAUUAGUGUUCUUGUUUUGCUAAAUUAUGUAUAUUGUUAUCAAGAAAUGAGAAGAUUGAUAUUGUUAUUAGUGUUCUUGUUUUGCUAAAUUUUAUAAAUUGUUAUCAAGAAAUGAGAAGAUUGAUAGUGUUAUUAGUGUUCUUGUUU
rnacentral:lncRNA from 1 species